rnacentral:rRNA from 1 species
GACGAACGCUGGCGGCGUGCCUAAUACAUGCAAGUAGAACGCUGAAGGAGGAGCUUGCUUCUCUGGAUGAGUUGCGAACGGGUGAGUAACGCGUAGGUAACCUGCCUGGUAGCGGGGGAUAACUAUUGGAAACGAUAGCUAAUACCGCAUAAGAGUAGAUGUCGCAUGACAUUUGCUUAAAAGGUGCAAUUGCAUCACUACCAGAUGGACCUGCGUUGUAUUAGCUAGUUGGUGAGGUAACGGCUCACCAAGGCAACGAUACAUAGUCGACCUGAGAGGGUGAUCGGCCACACUGGGACUGAGACACGGCCCAGACUCCUACGGGAGGCAGCAGUAGGGAAUCUUCGGCAAUGGACGGAAGUCUGACCGAGCAACGCCGCGUGAGUGAAGAAGGUUUUCGGAUCGUAAAGCUCUGUUGUAAGAGAAGAACGAGUGUGAGAGUGGAAAGUUCACACUGUGACGGUAUCUUACCAGAAAGGGACGGCUAACUACGUG